GAUGAAGAACGUAGCGAAAUGCGAUAAGUAAUGUGAAUUGCAGAAUUCAGUGAAUCAUCGAAUCUUUGAACGCACCUUGCGCUCCUUGGUAUUCCGAGGAGCAUGCCUGUUUGAGUGUCAUGAAAUUCUCAACCUUUUCAGCUUUCUUUGUUGAUCAGGCUUGGAUGUGGGAGUAUGCGGGCUUCUCAGAAGUCGGCUCUCCUGAAAUGCAUUAGCGGGACCUUUGUUGCCUGGCUUUGGUGUGAUAAUUAUCUACGGCAUUGUAGUCAAGCAGCUUAAAAUGAGGUUUCAGCUUCUAACCGUCUCCCCUGAGACAACUUUUUGACAAUUUGACCUCAAAUCAGGUAGGACUACCCGCUGAACUUAAGCAUAUCAAUAAGCGGAGGA
rnacentral:misc_RNA from 1 species